AAGAAUAAUUUGCCUUAUAAUUUGAGGCUAGAAUGAACGUUUUGACGAAGGUUAAUCUGUCUCUAUCCUAUUUUUUAGAAUUUAAUUUUUAAAGUGAAAAAGCUUGAAUUUUUUAAAGGGACGAGAAGACCCUAUUGAGCUUGUAAUUUUAUUACUAUCAUGUAUUUAAUAUAUAAAGUAGUAUAUAAAUUUUAAUUGGGGUGAUUAAGGAAUAAAUAAUUAAAUUAAUAACUUCCUUAGGUUUAAUAUUGUUAGAUAAAGUAACCAAUAUUAUUGCUUAUAUUAUAGUUACCAUAGGGAUAACAGCGUAAUUUGUUUAGAGAGUUCUUAUUGAAAAAUGAGAUUGCGACCUCGAUGUUGGAUUAAAGUAACCUUAAGGUGCAGAAGCUU
rnacentral:rRNA from 1 species